ensembl:lncRNA
AAAUAAUACCAUCAUGCUUCUGUAUUGCGUACUACAGGGUUCGGUCGCUGAACUACACUUUUUACCACACCCUACACGUCAACAUACCUUUGAUAUAGUAUCGCACAAAAUUACUCUUUUCAGUCUGUUACAUUUGAACUAAGAAGACAAAUCACACAGAGCUUUGCAAUACCGUUUGGUCUAUAUGGUUAUGACUUUAAACAGCCGAAGGAGGUGGUGUUUCAUUUCAAAAUAUGAGGCCAGAUGGGCCGUAUUCCUCACCAUAUUAUAUGUAUGGUGCAUUGUUUGUGGAGGUACAUCCUCCAUAACACCAACAACACCAAUUUCAACAGCCAGUGAAGUUUGUAUAAUAAGAACUAAAGCAUCUCUUACCACAGCUAUGACCCUCAAACAAAAUACAUGCAUAGCUGCGACUUUCACAACUACAUCUCCAACAACUACAGAUUCAAUAUCAAUUGCAUCUACAACUGAGGCUCCUACAGAAAAUGUAUCUUCAGCAACAGCUACAGGUCAAACAGCAAUGUCAUUUUCAAUGACAACAGAAACUGGAGCUUUCACAACCACAGAUGUGAUCCCCACAACCACUCUCAUAUUCUCACCAAGUACAAAUGCACCAUCAACAGCAACAAAUGCUGCUUUAACAACAAGAGCACCAUCAACAGAAACUGAAGCUUCCACAACCGUAGAUGUCAUUCCAACAACCACACAUAUAUCCUCACCAAGUACAACAAUAGCAUCAUCAUCAGAAACCGACGCUUCCACAACCAUAGAGAUGACGCCCACAACCACACUUAUAUCCUCACCAAGUACAACUACACUUUCAACAGUAACAAAUGCUGCUUCAACAACAACAGCACCAUCAACAGAAACUGAAGCUUCCACAACCAUAGAUGUGAUCCCCACAACCACACUUAUAUCCUCACCAAGUACAACUACACUUUCAACAACAAAUGUUGCUUCAGCAACAACAGCAUCAUCAACAGAAACUGAAGCUUCUACAACUAUAGAGGUGAUCCCCACAACCACUCUCAUAUCCUCACCAAGUGCAACAACAACAGCACCAUCAACAGAAACGGAAGUUUCCACAACCAUAGAUGUGACCCCCACAACCACUCUCAUAUCCUCACCAAGUACAACUGCACCAUCAACAACAAAUGCUGCUUCAUCAACAACAGAACCAUCAACAGAAACGGAAGCUUCCACAACCAUAGAGGUGACUACCACAACCACUCUCAAAUCCUUACCAAGUACAACAGCACCACCAACAGAAACUGAGGCUUCCACAACCAUAGAUGUGAUCACCACAACCACUCUCAUAUCUUCACUAAGUACAACAUCACCAUCAACAGAAACUGAAGCUUCCACAACCAUAGAUGUGAUCCCCACAAUCACACUUAUAUCCUUACCAAGUACAACAACAACAGCACCAUCAACAGAAGCUGAGGCUUCCACAACCAUAGAUGUGAUCCCCACAACCACUCUCAUAUCUCCACUAAGUACAACAGCACCAUCAACAGAAACUGAAGAUUCCACAACCAAACAGGUAACCCCCACAUCCUCUCUCAUAUCCUCAACAAGUACAACUGCAGCAUCAACAACAACAAAUGCUGCUUCAACAACAACAGCACCGUCAAUGGAAACUGAAGCUUCCACAACCAAAGAGGUGACCCCCACAACCACUCUCAUAUCCUCACCAAGUUCAACUGCACCAUCAACAAAAAAUGCUGCUUCACCAACAACAGCACCAUCAACAGAAACUGAAGCUUCCACAACUACAGAGGUGACCCCCAGAACCACUCUCAUAUCCUCACCAAGUACAACUGCACAACCAACAACAACAAAUGCUGCUUCAACAACAACAGCACCAUCAACAGAAACUGAAGUUUCCACAACCAUAGAGGCGACACCCACAACCACUCUGAUAUCCUCACUAAAUACAACAACAGCACAAUCAUCAGAAACUGAGGCUUCCACAACAAUAUAUCUGACCCCCACAACCACUCUCAUAUCCUCACCAAGUACAACUGCACCAUCAACAACAAAUGCUGCUUCAACAACAACAGCAGCAUCAACAGAAACUGAAGCUUCCACAACUAUAGAGCUGACCCCCACAACCACUCUCAUAUCCUCAGCAAGUACAACAACAACAGCACAAUCAACAGAAACUGAAGCUUCCACAACCGAAGAGGUGACCACCACAACCACACUCAUUUCCUCACCAAGUAAAACAACUACAGCACCAUCAACAGAAUCUAAGGCUUCCACAACCAUAGAUGUGAUCCCCACAACCACACUUAUAUCCACACCAAGUACAACUGCAUCUUCAACAGAAACAAAUGCUGCUUCAACAACAACAGCAGCACUGUCAACAGAAACUGAAGCUUCCACAAUCAGAGAUGUGACCCCCACAACCACUCUCAUAUCCUCACCAAGUGCAAGAACAACAGCACCAUCAACAGAAACUGAAGCUUCCACAACCAUAGAGGUGACCCCCACAACCACUCUCAUAUCAUCACGAAGUACAACAACAACACCACCAUCAGCAGCAACUGAAGCUUACACAACCAUACAUGUGACCCCCACAACCUCUCUCAUACCCUCACCAAGUGCAAGAACAACAGCACCAUCAACAGAAACUGAAGCUUACACAACAAUACAUGUGACACCCACAACCUCUCUCAUAUCCUCACAAAGUACAACUACACCACCAACAACAACAAAUGCUGCUUCAACAACAACAGCACCAUCAACAGAAACUGAAGCUUACACAACCAUACAUGUGACCCCCACAACCUCUCUCAUAUCCUCACAAAGUACAACUGCACCAUCAAGAACAACAAAUGCUGCUUCAACAACAACAGCACCAUCAGCAGAAACUGAAGUUUCCACAACUAUAGAGGUGACCCCCACAACCACUCUCAUAUCCUCACUAAAUACAACAACAGCACCAUCAACAGAAACUGAGGCUUCCACAACCACAGAGGUGACCCCCACAACCGCUCUGAUAUCCUCACUAAGUACAACAACUACAGCACCAUCAACAGAAACUAAAGCUUCCACAACCAUAGAUGUGAUCCCCACAACCACACUUAUGUCCUCACCAAGUACAACUGCAUCGUCAACAGAAACAAAUGCUGCUCCAACAACAACAGCACUGUCAACAGAAACUGAAGCUUCCACAACCAUAAAUAUGAGCCCCACAACCACUCUCAUAUCCUCACCAAGUGCAACAACAACAGCACCAUCAACAGAAACUGAAGCUUCCACAACCAUAAAUAUGAGCCCCACAACCACUCUCAUAUCCUCACCAAGUACAACAACAACAGCAACAUCAACAGAAACUGAGGCUUCCACAACCAUAGAUGUGAUCCCUAUAACCACACUUAUAUCCUCACCAAGUACAACUGCACCAUCAACAGCAACAAAGGCUGCUUCAACAACAGCAGCAUCAUCAACAGAAACGGAAGCUUCCACAACCGUAGAUGUGAUCCCCACAACCACUCUCAUAUCCUCA